CGUUCUAGCGCGCCUCCGUGACGUCACUCGCUUUGGAGGCGGGCUCAGCAAGCGGCGCUCCACCGCCAUUGGUCGGGAGCCCUGCAGUAACCAGGGGAACUGCAAACAGUGUAGGGGCAGCUUCCGGUUCGAGCACCCGUAACCGCCGUAACCGCCGUAACCGCCGCCUUUAAGGAUGGACGAGAUCGGUGCAGAUCCGAACAGAAGCCGGCUCGAGGCUCCACAUCGAACCCCCCGGGGACUACUCGGAAGAUUUUGAGUCGACUGAGGAUGCCGAUGCCAAGACCAUGGAUGUUUCUGGGGAUCGUCCACAGGAGCUGAGAAGAAGCCUGGAACUCAGUGCAAACGCACAGAGGAGACAGGGGGAUUGUCCCAGCGAUGACUACGACUCUAUCGAAGAAGACAUCACCUCUGAGCCCGAGCCUGAGCCCGAGGGCUGUCCUGGAGGUGACUGCCCUCUGUCCACUGGGGACAAGGAUGCUCCUGAGGACCGGGAGGCAGGUGGACGUCCCCCGCAGGGCCCGGACACCCUCGUCGUGCUGGAAUUUAACCCCGCUUCUCAAACUCUGCUACAGGUGGUGGAGGGAGUGGCGAUCAUUAGGCACCGCCCUCAUUUCUGGUGGAGAAGCCAAACAGCAGGGAGGCCUGCGUGUUCAGAGCUCACCCGUCAGGCAUCAAGCUGAAGCUGGCAGCCAAGUCCUGAGUCUCGUGAUCUAGGGUCACUUCCAGGAGAACCUGCAGCUCUGCGCCAGCCUGCCCCUACCAUCGCACCCAUUGUAACAGGGGUGAGAAAAGGCCGACAUAGCCAGCUAGACUUCGGUAGGAUCAUCUCUGCUUUACAUACACACGUGCACACGUGCACAUGCACGCACACACAAGAUGCAUGUGUCUAUGUUUCUUUACUCGAUGGCAACUUGUUCUGGUUUUCCACUUCAAAUCGCGAUAUGAAGCUUCCCUCUCAAACGUCCUUACGUAAGGCAAACAUGAGUCAAUGGGGAGCAACAACAACCAAACAAUCCUAGCAGAACAGGAAUUAAUUUCUGAAGGUGACAUAAAAAUGGCCGAAGUCUGGGCGAGGCUAGGGCUGGGUGAGUUCUCCGCUUCUGGGCUCCAUUCCAAGCCAAGAGCUUGCAGGGUCCCCACUCCACACGGGUGCACAACUCACAUCAAGGUUUCUACCAGUGACGUUCCCUGGAGUCGUGCAGUGCUCAGCCUGCCCGAGUGUACACAGCAGCCAUGGAUAUUUUUAGAGUUACAAGUAUCCCAAACAGACACAGGAAGAGAGAGAGAGAGAAUCUUCUGGCCGGCUGCCCUGGAGUUGGCAGCCAAAGUUCCUCACUUCAAAUUGUAUUAUUUUCUAUUCAGGAUCCUCCUGUAGCCUCUCCAAGCACAGGCACCACCAGGCAGCCCAAGCAGCACUGGUCCCCAGCCUGUCCUCGGGGAGAGGAAGGGACGAAACAGGCACAGGGGAUCCUCUCGGGGGAGACUCACUCCCGGGGAGCCUUCCAGGAAAAUGCACAGCCAGUGAGCCCCCAUUCAGGUCCCAAGGCACAGGUGGCUGUUGACAGGAGAAUAAGGAAGGCAGGAGCCAUCCCUUAAAAAACCAGCUGACACUGACAUCCUGGUGGCUCCAGGGGGCGUGAGUCAGCUUUCCAUUACUUGAACUAAAAUGCCUGCAAGGUGCUCCUUAGGAAGGAAGAAGGUUUAUUUCAGCUUAUGUUUUUGGAGGUUCACAGUACAAGAUCGGACAGACCCAUUCAGCUGGUGUCUGUGCAGACAGGGACCCAACAGCAAGCCAGGAAGCAGAGAGACACAGGGUUUCGAUAACCAAGCCUCUUGGGGGAACUGCCUUCUCCCAGGGUAAGCCCCAAUCACCUAAACAUUUCCCAGGCACCAUGAUUAGAUCAGCUGUCCACCCUCAAGUCAUCCACCAACCGUUAAACCAUGACCCACUAUCAUAAGACUAAGGGGUUUAUGUGUCUGUGGAGCCGAAUCCUGAUCAAAUUCAGUAAAGAAUAGAAACAAUUCAUGGUGUAAAAACACCAUGGAGCCUACAUCAACACACUACCAAAAUUAAGCCAUUGGAGGCUUCGUGGUUGUAACAUCUUCAUGUAAAAACCACACAAGCAGCACAACUCAGAUGGGCAGACGCCAGUCACAGCGUGUUCCUUAGAAGAAAUCUAAUACUGGACACGCCCACUUAGAGACAGUGACAGCACAAUCUCUUCCUCCUUCCAGAAAGCAGCAAAGUCCCUUAGCUAACCCAGCCAGAGCCAAAAGGACCAGACGGAACAGAAUGGAGAGUAGAACUCAGGCCUGGCAGGUGAACCUAGACGUGGGACCCAGCCCCAUGGGUGCUCUAACCCAGCACCACUGAAGAAGCAGCUCUCGUGCUGAUUAGAAUAAAGGCAACACCAGAAAAUCAGCUUACACUCACCCAUGCCGGCCAGUCCUGCACACCUUCCUGCCUCUCCUUGCCCCUUUCCCUCUCACACUCCUUCUCUCACACAUACACACACGCAUGCACACACGCACACGCAUGCACACACACUCACCUCUCUCUCCAGCUCCACGGCCCCAGCCUCUCACCAGCCUCCCUGCCUCCAUCAGUGGCAGGAACAUCUGCAGAGCUGAGAUGUGCCACCUUCCAUCCGGGAGCCUCCAGUCGCCUGCCUUCCCACUGGGAUGCUCCUGCCUUAACACACAGACUCCUACAGGUGCCUGUUCUCUGUGACACCGCAGUUUCGUUUCUUGGAAUUCAUCUGCCACGUGCGCAUAAUGACACAAGGUCAAGAUCAUUCGUCACAGCCUGAUUUUAAUAGCAAAGGGUUGGAAAUAACCUAAAUUUCCAUUAAUUAAAUCAGAAAUGUACAUUCAAUUUUUGGAAGAUUCACCUUCAUUAAAAUGAACAAGACAGCUCUCUCUCUCAGAAUAUUAACCCAGAAUAUGAAUAGUUAUACCGAAUGCUAACUCUACACAAAAGACGGGGCCCCCUACUGAAACCCAAGGCCCUCGGCUGUGGUGGACUGAAUGCCCCCAGGGCCCCUCCUGUCCAGGGUGGGCUCCUGACAUUCCCCCACCAGACACUGUAUCCGCUGUCCACUGCCACUGUAACAACUUGUCACCAACGUGAUGGCUUUGCCAAUACAAAGUUUGCAUCUUCAAACUCUACCGCCUCACUGGCCAGCACCAAGGAUUCAGCACCACCCUGUUCCCACAUGGCCGCUCCAGGGCACGUGCCACCUCCUUGCCCUUUCUGGCCGCCCCAGGCCACCCCCAUUCUUUGCCUUCCUGCCUCCCCUCUGGAAGCCACCCCUGCCCAUCUCUCUUCU